rnacentral:rRNA from 1 species
ACUCCUACGGGAGGCAGCAGUGGGGAAUCUUGGACAAUGGGGGCAACCCUGAUCCAGCCAUGCCGCGUGAGUGAUGAAGGCCCUAGGGUCGUAAAGCUCUUUCGCCAGGGAUGAUAAUGACAGUACCUGGUAAAGAAACCCCGGCUAACUCCGUGCCAGCAGCCGCGGUAAUACGGAGGGGUUAGCGUUGUUCGGAAUUACUGGGGCGUAAAGCGCGCGUAGGCGGACCAGAAAGUUGGGGGUGAAAUCCCGGGGCUCAACCCCGGAACUGCCUCCAAAACUCCUGGUCUUGAGUUCGAGAGAGGUGAGUGGAAUUCCGAGUGUAGAGGUGAAAUUCGUAGAUAUUCGGAGGAACACCAGUGGCGAAGGCGGCUCACUGGCUCGAUACUGACGCUGAGGUGCGAAAGUGUGGGGAGCAAACAGGAUUAGAUACCCUGGUAGGAUAGCG